AGGACGAACGCUGGCGGCGUGCUUAACACAUGCAAGUCGAGCGGAAAGGCCCUUCGGGGUACUCGAGCGGCGAACGGGUGAGUAACACGUGAGUAACCUGCCCCUAGCUCUGGGAUAGCUCCGGGAAACCGGGAUUAAUACCAGAUACGACCACUUUAGACAUCUGUCGUGGUGGAAAGUUUUUCGGCUAGGGAUGAGCUCGCGGCCUAUCAGCUAGUUGGUGGGGCAACGGCCUACCAAGGCGACGACGGGUA
rnacentral:rRNA from 1 species